UGAAAACAAACACUUUGUCCCAGUAGUUGGAGCCGUAAUCAGGGACUUUGAGCUCUAGAGGUUGUGGGGCCUGCCUGACUCAGUUGUCAAAAUGCUCAAGCUUUGAGUUGGCCUCGUGUUGAUGUCCCCAAGGAGCUGCCCUGCUCUGUUUUAGAUCAAGAUGACUUAGAGCUACAACAGUGGAGCUUUCAACUGGGGUGGAGGAGAAAAUCCCGAGGCCUUUGAUCUCUGGUCCCAUCACCUUGAUUGGUCUCCAUGGUAACCACCAUAUCCAAGUAGGUGGAGAAU
rnacentral:lncRNA from 1 species